rnacentral:rRNA from 1 species
GUGGUGCAUGGCUGUCGUCAGCUCGUGUCGUGAGAUGUUGGGUUAAGUCCCGCAACGAGCGCAACCCUUGUCGCAUGUUGCCAGCGUAAUGCCGGGGACUCAUGGGAGACUGCCGGGGUCAACUCGGAGGAAGGUGGGGAUGACGUCAAGUCAUCAUGCCCCUUAUGUCCAGGGCUUCACACUUGCUACAAUGGCCGGUACAAAGGGCUGCGAAACCGUGAGGUGGAGCGAAUCCCCACAAAGCCGGUCUCAGUUCGGAUGGGGGUCUGCAACUCGACCCCGUGAAGUCGGA